GACGAACGCUGGCGGCGUGCCUAAUACAUGCAAGUCGAGCGGACUUUCAAGAAGCUUGCUUUUUGAAAGUUAGCGGCGGACGGGUGAGUAACACGUGGGCAACCUGCCUGCAAGACGGGGAUAACUCCGGGAAACCGGGGCUAAUACCGGAUAAUAUCUUCCUUCGCAUGAAGGAAGGUUGAAAGGCGGCGCAAGCUGCCGCUUGCAGAUGGGCCCGCGGCGCAUUAGCUAGUUGGUGAGGUAACGGCUCACCAAGGCGACGAUGCGUAGCCGACCUGAGAGGGUGAUCGGCCACACUGGGACUGAGACACGGCCCAGACUCCUACGGGAGGCAGCAGUAGGGAAUCUUCCGCAAUGGACGAAAGUCUGACGGAGCAACGCCGCGUGAGCGAAGAAGGUCUUCGGAUCGUAAAGCUCUGUUGUCAGGGAAGAACAAAUACCGUUCGAACAGGGCGGUACCUUGACGGUACCUGACCAGAAAGCCACGGCUAACUACGUG
rnacentral:rRNA from 1 species